UACGUAGGGUGCGAGCGUUAAUCGGAAUUACUGGGCGUAAAGCGUGCGCAGGCGGUUUGUUAAGUCUGUUGUGAAAUCCCCGAGCUCAACCUGGGAAUUGCAAUGGAUACUGGCAGGCUGGAGUAUGGUAGAGGAAGGUGGAAUUCCCGGUGUAGCAGUGAAAUGCGUAGAGAUCGGGAGGAACACCAGUGGCGAAGGCGGCCUUCUGGACCAAUACUGACGCUCAUGCACGAAAGCGUGGGGAGCAAACAGG
rnacentral:rRNA from 1 species